UUCUAACCUCAACUUGUUGUUGGUUUGUUUGAAUAAUUUUUUCCAAUUUAUGUACUUCCAAUAUGUAGGUAUAUAUUUCUUUUGUUUUUCAAAUUACAAUAAAAAAUGUUGGAUUGGUAUGAAGAAGUUGAAGAAUUUUUAGAGUUUAUUUCUUAUAUUGUAGAAGAAAAUCGCCCGGAAAGUAUACGAAAGCCAUGUGAUAAAAUUAUAUCAAAUCCAAUGGAAUUUUACAAUAUUGAAUUUCAUCAGCUGCAAUAACUUAAACAACAAAGAUUUUAUGCUACUUUAUAGGAAUAUAACCAGUUUUUAUGAAGUUGCCCAUUUCAAAUUACAGCUCUUUCAUGUUCUAGAAGCGAGAUUAUGAAUGUUGUUGGUUGUUGGUGAACAACAAGGUCAAGUUAUGUUGGCUUAAUAUUUGAUCUAAGUGCAUUAAGAGGUAUCAUGAGAAAGAGUGAAAUUCCAGGAUUAUUAAUUGGCAAUAGUAGAUACGCAUGCAAAUACUAUCUAUUUACUUCAGUAUUACAGCCAGGUGCCAUCUGUGAGAGUCCACAACUCAAGUCCAUACAACAGUACACUAAAGAUAUAACAUCAUAGUAACCUGAUUUUUAUGGGUAUCGACAAAUCAUGACAUUUGAAUAACUUAGCCAUUGCUUGAAAUGUAGAUCUUGCUUUCUCUAUCCUACAUUUGAUUUCUAUGGAAUGAUCCCAAUCUUCAUUGACGUUCGUACCAAGGUAAUGAUCAAGAAAAUAGAUACGAUAGUGCACAUGUAAGAACAAGAAAUGUUGCCGAAAAGCUAUUUGGAACCUGGAAAAAACAGUUUCCAUGUCUUCAAAAGUUCUACAAACCGAAUUAAAUACAUACCUUGCAAUAUGUGCUACAACAGUACCUUAUAAGUUAUAAUCUGGGUGCAAGAGAAAAUCAUGAUGGUGAUGAUGAUUUUGUAGAAAAUCUUGAUUUGUCGGUAAAUGGAAAUGUUAAUGAUGUGGAACAAUGUUUAAAUUUUAGGAGGCAUUUUUAUCGACAAUAUUUUGCAUGAGAAUGAGAAUACAUUAUUGAAUACUUGUAAUAUAUUAAAUGUUUUUUUUUUUAAUAUUUAAUGGGUCGUCUUUCUUUGGGAUUUUUUGCCUAUUAUUUCUCAAAUAUCAUGAUCAUUGGCUUGACAACUCUUUUUGUUUGAGUUUUGGUCCCUUCAGGAAUACUUACUUCUCCAUUCUAAUCUAUUUGAAGAUUUUGAUUUUUUGUUCUUCCAAUUUUUUAUUUUUAAAAUUUCAAUGUCUUAUCCUAUUUGUUCCUUGCCUAUAUGUAAUCUUUGGUCUUCCUCCUGUUAAUGUCCAGCUGAUAUUUCUUUGUUUAUUUUGGAAAAUAUUUCAUGUUCUUCCAUCUUUCCUCUUAUUAUGUGCUCCUAUUUUGAUGAAUGUUAGUAUAUAGAUUCUGGUAUGUCCUGUAUAGUUCAAAAUUAUAUCUUCUUUUCAAUUUCCCUUUUUUUUUCUUCUUUGUAUAUGUGUCAAGAUUCUUCUGCCUAAGUAACCAAUUGGUCGUCUUCACUUUAAGUAAGUAACCAGAUUUCAGAUUCAUAUGUAAAUACUGGAUGUAUUAAGGUUUUGUGCAAUUGACAUUUAGUUUUUCUUGUAAUAUCUUAUCUUGGUUGUUUGAUCGAGCCCUGGUAACUUUAAUUGGCUAUGAACUGUUUGUAUUGCUAUGUUAGAUGCUAUUUAGCCUGAUUUCAGUGCUUUGUUAUUGUUUAUUUUAUCUACUUGUCUACUGCUAGUCUAUUAUUGUACUUUCACUAUAUAUGUUUUGAAUUUAUAUAGUAAUCUGUCUUUCUCUUCUAUCUAUAUUCCACUAGAAUUUGUUUAUUUAUUCUGAGAAUACAUUAUUGAAUCCUUGUAUAAUGUGAGAUAUAUGUAGUUUCUUUUUUAGUUUACUUCUCAACAUGUAUUUUUUAUAUUUGAUGUUAAAAUAAAUGAGUACGAGUUUUUCUCCUUUUAAA